rnacentral:rRNA from 1 species
UACGGAGGGAGCUAGCGUUGUUCGGAAUUACUGGGCGUAAAGCGCACGUAGGCGGCUAUUCAAGUCAGAGGUGAAAGCCCGGGGCUCAACCCCGGAACUGCCUUUGAAACUAGAUAGCUAGAAUCUUGGAGAGGUCAGUGGAAUUCCGAGUGUAGAGGUCAAAUUCGUAGAUAUUCGGAAGAACACCAGUGGCGAAGGCGACUGACUGGACAAGUAUUGACGCUGAGGUGCGAAAGCGUGGGGAGCGAACAGG